CCUGAUAAAACCAUUUGUAACACACUGCUGAAAUCAUCGUCCAAAGCGCAUCUGGGGUUCCCAGGCCAUCAGGGGUCUAAGGGUGAGACUGUCCUCUGAUCCAGUCCAGAGAUAUUCAGAAGGGCGGUCUAGGGGUGAAGGGGCCACCCGGAGGUUCUGAUGUCACUGGGACCAAGAGCCAGCGAGAGAACAAAGAUCUUCUUGAAGACGACAUUCUUGGGGCUCAUGAUGCUGCUGAGUGACAAAACAAUCAGGAAGCUCUUAGCAUCACUCUGGAUGUCGCCAGGGCAGUGCCACAACGCCCACUCACC